rnacentral:rRNA from 1 species
UACAGAGGGUGCGAGCGUUGUCCGGAAUCACUGGGCGUAAAGGGCGCGUAGGUGGCGACCCAAGUCUGUGGUGAAAGCUCGCCGCUUAACGGCGAGUCGGCCACGGAUACUGGGUGGCUCGAGCGACUGUAGGGGCAGAUGGAAUUCCGGGUGUAGCGGUGGAAUGCGUAGAGAUCCGGAAGAACACCGGUGGCGAAGGCGGUCUGCUGGGCAGUAGCUGACACUGAGGCGCGGACAGCGUGGGGAGCAAACAGG